rnacentral:rRNA from 1 species
GAUGAACGCUGGCGGCGUGCCUAAUACAUGCAAGUCGAGCGAACAGAUGAGGAGCUUGCUCCUCUGACGUUAGCGGCGGACGGGUGAGUAACACGUGGAUAACCUACCUAUAAGACUGGGAUAACUUCGGGAAACCGGAGCUAAUACCGGAUAAUAUAUUGAACCGCAUGGUUCAAUAGUGAAAGACGGUUUUGCUGUCACUUAUAGAUGGAUCCGCGCCGCAUUAGCUAGUUGGUAAGGUAACGGCUUACCAAGGCAACGAUGCGUAGCCGACCUGAGAGGGUGAUCGGCCACACUGGAACUGAGACACGGUCCAGACGCCUACGGGAGGCAGCAGUAGGGAAUCUUCCGCAAUGGGCGAAAGCCUGACGGAGCAACGCCGCGUGAGUGAUGAAGGUCUUCGGAUCGUAAAACUCGGUUAUUAGGGAAGAACAAAUGUGUAAGUAACUAUGCACGUCUUGACGGUACCUAAUCAGAAAGCCACGGCUAACUACGUG